GUUCGCAAUAACUUAUGCAUUGAUUGUUGUAGAAACAUCAAAACAAGUGUAAGUUAUUCUAAAAAGACCUGGCCUACUUUUACAACCUGUCACGACUUCCGCCGAGCUCGGUUCCUCUCCUUGUUCGGGCGGCGUUCGGCGGUCGACGUCACCGGUCUUCUAGCCAUCGCUGAUCCAUCUUUCAUUUUCUAUUGGUUUUGUCUUUAUUUUCUACACACCUGGUUUUCAUUAUCCAAUUCCAUGUUCAUGUCCAUGUUUGUUGUGCGUGAUUAUUUCUAUGUUCAGUUCGGUUCAUGAUGCCUGGUUUUUCCACGGGUGCUGUGUUCACCCGUGCGUAAUAUUUACCGUUGGUCUUUGGUCAAGUGUAUUUGUUUACCUUGUGCCUUUAUUUUUUGAGUAAAGUACGUUACUCACUCAUUCUGCUCUCCUGCGCCUGACUUCAUGCACCAGCUACACUCACCUUCUGACAGGACCUGCAUCAAAAGUCGUGUUGAUUGUCUAGUAAUAAUCAGGUUAUAUAAAAUUGUAAUUAAAUCUAUUAUCCUCAAUAGUUUUUUCAUGAAUUGUCAUAGAAACAUCAAACUAAAUCCAAAUUAGUCAAACCCUCAAUGGAUCUGACGCAAGACAUCACCGCCAUACAAGUUUCGGCUUUACCAAUUGUGUUACAGAAUUACCUGCGUUGGAAUUUAGCACACCAUCUCACAGUACUCUCUCAGAGACAAAAUAUGUAACUUGCCCUUCACACCUCUGGCCCUAACCAACCCGAUUGGUUGCUAGGGACCAGGUUGCCAAAUGCCUUAUCACACCGUCGGGUCAGCCAAUCACAGGCAGUAAUCUUGGGUUUCAGAUCCCCAAUUCCUGCGGCCCCUUCUCCGUCUUCUUCUAGCAGUUGCAGAGAGAGCGUCAAGCUCCUCUUCCUUGCCAAACACAACUGGACUCAUUCCCAUAUCUGUGGGAUGGUGUGCGUGUAUAAAAGAACCACUACCAUUCUACUUUCUAUAUGCCUGCCUGUGUAUAGCAAUACAGUAUCCCUGUGUGUAACUGUGAGGUUGAAUUAUUCCCCAUCUCCUCUGACCGACAAAGUACGCAGAGCCAAACGGAACUUAUGAAGACAACACUGAGUGACUUGUUCCUGCCAAAAUAACUCCACAACCCUGAAGACCUCCACCUGGCUGCCACCACAACCCUGAAGACCUCCACCUGGCUGCCACCACAACCCUAAAGACCUCCACCUGGCUGCCACCACAACCCUGAAGACCUGGUUAGAGCGUUGGACUAGUAACCGAAAGGUUGCAAGAUUGAAUCCUGGAGCUGAGAAGGUAAAAAUCUGUUGUUCUACCCCUGAACAGUUAACCUACUUUUGGGAUGUCUGACAAACACGUUCUAGUUCUGCCACCUUUCACCGUAAAUGCGGAAGUGCAACAUCGGUGGAUUGAGACACAGAUCAUUCAACAAGCAAAGAUCUCUAGCUCAAAUAGGCAGAUAUUGAUAGGGGUUUAAUUACUAUGCUAAUUAGAUUUCUGACACAGUGCAGACAUCGACUCUUAUCUUUUCAUAUGCAAGGCUCGUAUUCCUGACCUAUAACAAAGAGUACUAAAACAUUUUAGUGCGUGAUGACAUUGCAACUGUUAACUCCUAUGUUUGCCAUGAGUCUAAUAACUAUGAUCUUGUUAUUCUCCAUUAUUAUUUAUCUUUGUAACCCCUGCUAACUGACAUAACGUAACGUAUGACUGAUUAACACUAUUCAACUGGAAAUCUGUCUCAUGUUCCUUUCAGUCUAU
rnacentral:lncRNA from 1 species